rnacentral:rRNA from 1 species
UACGUAGGGGGCAAGCGUUGUCCGGAAUUAUUGGGCGUAAAGAGCGCGUAGGCGGUCCGGUAAGUCGGCUGUGAAAGUCAAGGGCUCAACCCUUGAAAGCCGGCCGAUACUGUCGGACUAGAGUCCGGAAGAGGCGAGUGGAAUUCCCGGUGUAGCGGUGAAAUGCGCAGAUAUCGGGAGGAACACCGGUGGCGAAGGCGGCGUCCUGGACCAACACUGACACUGAUGAGCGAAAGCCAGGGGAGCAAACGGG